rnacentral:lncRNA from 1 species
UCUGCCUGCACACACAGCCAACAGCACCAUUGUAGCAUUUGUGCUACAGUCAGCUGAGACUGGCCAACAGAGUCUUUAUUCAAGGUCAGUCAAAU